rnacentral:rRNA from 1 species
UACGUAGGGCGCAAGCGUUAUCCGGAAUUAUUGGGCGUAAAGAGCUCGUAGGCGGUUUGUCGCGUCUGCCGUGAAAGUCCGGGGCUCAACUCCGGAUCUGCGGUGGGUACGGGCAGACUAGAGUGAUGUAGGGGAGACUGGAAUUCCUGGUGUAGCGGUGAAAAUGCGCAGAUAUCAGGAGGAACACCGAUGGCGAAGGCAGGUCUCUGGGCAUUAACUGACGCUGAGGAGCGAAAGCAUGGGGAGCGAACAGG